CCCGCUGAACUUAAGCAUAUCAGUAAGCAGAGGAAAAGAAACCAACAGGGAUUUCCUGAGUAACUGCGAGUGAAAAGGGAUAAGCUCAGCGCAAAAGAAGAUUUUUUGACAGGAAUUUUCGGUGUUGCGUUUGGAGAGUUCAUUUUGUGGUGGUGAUGCGGUCUAAAUUUCGCUGGAACGCGGUUGCAAAGAUGGUUUUACACCAGUUUGGCCGUAUCACUUCGCAAAGCGGGCGCUUCUGGAGUCGGGUUGUUUGGAAACGCAGCCCAAAGCGGGUGGUAAACUUCACCUAAAGCUAAAUACGGCUACGAGACCGAUAGCAAACAAGUACUGUGAAGGAAAGUUGAAAAGCACUUUGAAAAGAGAGUGCAAGAGAACGUGAAACCGUUAUAGUGGAAGCGGAUAGAGCCGACGUAUCCAGUGCGUAUUCAGCCAUUUUGUGGGGCAAUUUGUUGGCGUAAAGUUCUGCAAAGUCUUUUAUUGACAUUGUUGUCGCAUGAAGUGGUGCAUUUGCGUACAGAGUGCGCCGAAUCGGUUGAACCCGUUGUUUGAUAGUAACAAAGAGGACUAUUUAUAGAACCCUGGGUUGCUGGAUGACAAUUGGGUUUGACUGUAAAAAGAGAUGGUAUUUCGUGGAAGUGGUCGAAGGUUAGGGCUGCAUUUGUACGACGCAUGCGUUUUGCAUUUAUGGUUUUGGCUUUUGGUUGCUGCUGCUCUUCUCUUAAUUCGGUGUUUAAUCGGUCACCUAUUUGACCCGUCUUGAAACACGG
rnacentral:rRNA from 1 species